rfam:Laetiporus sulphureus 93-53 unplaced genomic scaffold LAESTscaffold_20, whole genome shotgun sequence.
GUUCCCAUCGAUUAGUGGUCAGAUCAUCACGUUGUGGCUUCAGCAUUAGCUGGAACAAAACCGUGGGGACGGGGGCUCGAAUCCCCCUGGGAACA